rnacentral:rRNA from 1 species
AUGGCCGGCGAAGCAGACGAAGUAGAGGCCGAGGGAGGUGGGCAGGCCGGCGAGGUUGAGGACGUUGCCGCUCCCGCGGAAACCGGAUUCGGAGACGCCGGCCCAGACGAGCGACACCGUCAAGGCCGCCGACGCGACGAGCCCGAGCGCCGACACGUAGGCGAGCACGCCGAGGUUCUUGAGCCAGGUGGUGGGCAGCACGACGGCGCCGGCCAGGACGAUGUACAACUGCUUCCCGCGCAGCCGGUAGCCAGCGAGCAGCUCCACGCCGGCGCCGGGGAAGAGCUUAUCGAGGUUGUCGCCCUCAAGGACCAGGAAGCUGACGGCGACGAGGUAGAGCUCCACGUACAUGAACAGGGCGACGGUUCUCCGGCCGGCGGCGCCGAAUGCCAGCUGGCCGACGUCCGGGUAGGUGGCCACGGAGCCGUCGGCGCGCAUGCAGCGCGCUAUGAGCGUGCCGGUGUAGUAGCAGACGGCGCCGACGAGGGCGAAGAGCGCCAGGCUGAGCCACCCGCCCCGCGACACCGCGUAGGGCAUGGCGAGCACCCCGACGCCCGAGACGGCGUUGGUGAGGUUCAGGCACGCCCUGGAGAAGGAGGCGCCGGCGCUGCGAUACGGAGGGAGCUGCGCCUCGGUGUCGCGGUCAACAACCCGCUUCCCGGUGGCCGUGAGAAGAGGCUCGCCGAGGGGGCUCGCCGUCGCACCGAGGCCGCUCGUCUCGUGGUCUUCCAUCUUUGA